UACGAAGGGUGCAAGCGUUACUCGGAAUUACUGGGCGUAAAGCGUGCGUAGGUGGUUUGUUAAGUCUGAUGUGAAAGCCCUGGGCUCAACCUGGGAAUUGCAUUGGAUACUGGCAGGCUAGAGUGCGGUAGAGGAUGGCGGAAUUCCCGGUGUAGCGGUGAAAUGCGCAGAUAUCGGGAGGAACACCAGUAGCGAAGGCGGCACUCUGGGCCGGUACUGACGCUGAGGAGCGAAAGCGUGGGGAGCGAACAGG
rnacentral:rRNA from 1 species